GAGCUCAGCCUUCCCUGGCAUUUCUCGUCACGUAGUUUUAGAGCUUUGUUGUGUCGGAAACGCAGAUUUUCCCACGUUGAAUGGCUUAAGUUCCUAGCUGCACACGGGUGAAAAAAAUUCAUAGAAUUACUUCAAAUGCAUGGACCGACCUCAAAUGCAUUGGAAGUCUUGGUUAGUAAAUAGAAACUGAUAUUAACCCUAAUAUGUUUAGCGUUGGCUAUCCUUCAGGGACUAUGGCAAUCUUACUUAACUUUAAUAACCCUCAUGAGAUAACACACCGGUGAGAAAACAGGCUGCAAAGUUAAGUAUCUGAUCUGGUUCAAACCAUCAUUCUCUGGACUCCAAAGGCCACGUCCUUCCGACCAAGCUACACUGGCAGGUAGUGCUU